CCUUGGCCCCUCCUCCUGGUACGUCAUUAUCUUCCAGCUGAAGAGCUUUACACCCUAAGGCCUUCAUCACUCACGCGGCAUGGCUAGAUCAGGGUUGCCCCCAUUGUCUAAGAUUCCCCACUGCUGCCUCCCGUAGGGGGGCGGGGGCGGCGGGCCGGGCGCGGGGCGCGGCGGGCGAAUAAUUGU
rnacentral:rRNA from 1 species